CAUUAUGCAUGACAUCUCAAAGUGCUUUGAUGGUGGCUGCUGUAGGGAUGGGGAUAUGCAUACCAAGCGGUACAUGUGAACGCAUCAGCCAUGUGAUUGAUGUCUUCUCUGCCUGGUGCAGACAGGUUAAUGGUGUGAUUGUGGAGGUAAUCUCUGUUCUCUCGUUAGGGGAUGAUGGAGGACCGGGGAGCCCCGUGUCAGUCUAAAAAAAAGAGCCUGUUGCGUUCAUUCCUCAAGCCUUCUCUUCGGCUGCCCUCAUCCGAGCGGCUCGGAGCCGGAGGAUCGGCGGACCGCUGGGAGCGGACAUAUUCCUUUCUGUGACAUGCUGGCUAAUGCAGACGCUGCCUCCUGCAGAUGUACCGAAAGCCAGAUCAGUGAAGGGUGACCAUUGUUUCACAUGACCAUACAGCCUCCCCCUUGACUAAGGUUUCUAAUGCCACCUUGUGAGAUGAAAGCUGGAAAACCUGGAACUGGACUGAAAAAGGAGCAGUGAGAUUUUGUGAGGCACACACACCUGGGAAUCUGCAUUAAAGUGCUUUUCUCUGUAAGGGAAUAUUGCUUUUUUUUGGAUUUGUUCAUUUUCAUG